ensembl:miRNA
GGUUUCUCUGUGUAGCCUUGGCUAUCCUGCAUCUCACUUUGUAGACCAGGCUGGCCUCGAACUCAAAGAGAUCCACCUGCCUCUGCCUCCCAAGUGCUGGGAUUAAAGGCGUGCACCACCAGUGCCCG